rnacentral:rRNA from 1 species
GGGUUUAGCGGAGGAUCUGUAGGUGACCUGCGGAGCUAUUUGUUGCCUCAGGAGGAUCAGCCCGCUCCCGGUAAAACGGGACGGCCCGCCAGAGGACCCCUAAACUCUGUUUCUAUAUGUAACUUCUGAGUAAAACCAUAAAUAAAUCAAAACUUUCAACAACGGAUCUCUUGGUUCUGGCAUCGAUGAAGAACGCAGCAAAAUGCGAUAAGUAAUGUGAAUUGCAGAAUUCAGUGAAUCAUCGAAUCUUUGAACGCACAUUGCGCCCGCCAGUAUUCUGGCGGGCAUGCCUGUUCGAGCGUCAUUUCAACCCUCAAGCCCUCGGGUUUGGUGUUGGGGAUCGGCGAGCCCUUGCGGCAAGCCGGCCCCGAAAUCUAGUGGCGGUCUCGCUGCAGCCUCCAUUGCGUAGUAGUAAAACCCUCGCAACUGGAACGCGGCGCGGCCAAGCCGUUAAACCCCCAACUUCUGAAUGUUGACCUCGGAUCAGGUAGGAAUACCCGCUGAACUUAAGCAUAUCAAUAAGCGGAGGAAUCC